AUCUCAGGCUGACGAGGCUAACCGUGAGCGAUGGGAGGCACUGUGUACCGAGGCGUCGACCGAGGUUUUGAAACUCGACCCAAGUUGCACUGCAGCCAGACUUAUCCAGGCAGUUGCACAGUGUAUUCUUGGAAACACCAGAUCAGCCAGGCGUUCCUUGCAGUGUGUUUGCGACACGAAAUCUGCCGCGUCACUAGUGGCCCGAUACUGGCUCCUUCAGCUUCCGUCUAAAUAAGGAAUUAGUCA